CGGGGCUGGGGUGGGGGGCGGUGUCUGUCCAGUGAUUCAGCCACAUGUGAUAGAUGACCAAGUGACUGCUUUCUUGGGGUCCGCACACCAGUGGAAGACAGUCAAAGUGGUUGUGACAGACUUGAUCAAACUCUGGGCUUCCUGAACUGGAAUGAAAUGCAGAUAACUCUUUAGAAAACUUUUGUAGGAAAAGCGCCUCGUGUGAUCUGGAACAAAGACGUUUUAUAAUCAGAUUUAUCAAGCUGCGAAGAGGGAGUUUUAGUGAACGGAAGCAGCAGCAUUCUGUCACCAGGAAAUACUCCUUUAUCCAGAAUUGUUCUGGAUAUUUUCUGGAGGAUGCGGUAAAACUUCUAGAUAAAGAAGUACAGGAAGCCACCUAUGUGCAUAGAACCUUGUGUUUGGGUGUGGACUAAAUUUUCAGACUAUGGGAAAGGGAUUUCACAUUGAGAAUUUCCUCUUUCAGAUGUAGAUUGAGAAUUUUGACUUAGAAGAUGAGGGCUGGUUGUCCUAGCCCGUGGGUCCAGAGUGCUUGGAAAUCUCUUAAAAAAAAAAUCCCCUGGCCUUGGACUGAGCCUGCUCUUGGGGGACUUAUUAAUCAUGCCUGCCUUCAUUCUUUCCUUUGUUUGUUCGUUCCUUCAUUUGUCCAUAUUCUCGCAUAAGUCUGUCAACAUCUACCUGCAAAGAGGUGAAAGAAAUGAUGGGAGUGAGAGUCCAUCGGGGGACGGGA